rnacentral:rRNA from 1 species
GUGCCAGCAGCCGCGGUAAUACGGAGGGUGCAAGCGUUAAUCGGAAUUACUGGGCGUAAAGCGCACGCAGGCGGUCUGACAAGUCGGAUGUGAAAUCCCCGGGCUCAACCCGGGAACUGCAUUCGAAACUGUCAGGCUGGAGUCUUGUAGAGGGGGUAGAAUUCCAGGUGUAGCGGUGAAAUGCGUAGAGAUCUGGAGGAAUACCGGUGGCGAAGGCGGCCCCCUGGACAAAGACUGACGCUCAGGUGCGAAAGCGUGGGAGCAAACAGGAUUAGAUACCCUGGUAGUCCACGCCGUAAACGAUGUCUAUUUGGAGGUU